rnacentral:rRNA from 1 species
GACGAACGCUGGCGGCGUGCUUAACACAUGCAAGUCGAACGGUGAAGCGCCUUCCUUUUUGGUGGGUGUGGAUGAGUGGCGAACGGGUGAGUAACACGUGAGUAACCUGCCCCCUUCUUCUGGAUAACCGCAUGAAAGUGUGGCUAAUACGGGAUAUUCUGGGUCUGUCGCAUGAUGGGUCUGGGAAAGAUAUUGUUUCGGGGGGGGAUGGGCUCGCGGCCUAUCAGCUUGUUGGUGGGGUGAGGGCCUACCAAGGCGGUGACGGGUAGCCGGCCUGGGAGGGUGGACGGUCACACUGGGACUGAGGCACCGCCCAGACUCCUACGGGAGGCAGCAGUGUGGAAUAUUGCACAAUGGGCGCAAGUCUGAUGCAGCGACGCCGCGUGAGGGAUGGAGGCCUUCGGGUUGUGAACCUCUUUCGCCAGUGAAGCAUGCCUGCCUCGUUUGUGGGUGGGUUGACGGUAGCUGGAUAAGAAGCGCCGGCUAACUACGUG